AUUGAACGCUGGCGGCAUGCCUUACACAUGCAAGUCGAACGGUAGCGGGCCUUCGGGUGCCGACGAGUGGCGAACGGGUGAGUAAUGUAUCGGAACGUACCUUUCAGUGGGGGAUAACGUAGCGAAAGUUGCGCUAAUACCGCAUAUUCUGUGAGCAGGAAAGCAGGGGAUCGCAAUACCUUGCGCUGAUUGAGCGGCCGAUAUCAGAUUAGCUAGUUGGUGAGGUAAAGGCUCACCAAGGCGACGAUCUGUAGCGGGUCUGAGAGGAUGAUCCGCCACACUGGAACUGAGACACGGUCCAGACUCCUACGGGAGGCAGCAGUGGGGAAUUUUGGACAAUGGGGGCAACCCUGAUCCAGCCAUGCCGCGUGAGUGAAGAAGGCCUUCGGGUUGUAAAGCUCUUUCGGCCGGGAAGAAAUCGUAUCAGCUAAUACCUGGUGCGGAUGACGGUACCGGCAUAAGAAGCACCGGCUAACUACGUGCCAGCCGCCGCCGUAAUAC
rnacentral:rRNA from 1 species